rnacentral:rRNA from 1 species
GACGAACGCUGGCGGCGUGCUUAACACAUGCAAGUCGAACGGUAAGGCCCUUCGGGGUACACGAGUGGCGAACGGGUGAGUAACACGUGGGUGAUCUGCCCUGCACUUCGGGAUAAGCCUGGGAAACUGGGUCUAAUACCGGAUAGGACCACUGCCUGCAUGGGUGGUGGUGGAAAGCUUUUGCGGUGUGGGAUGGGCCCGCGGCCUAUCAGCUUGUUGGUGGGGUGAUGGCCUACCAAGGCGACGACGGGUAGCCGGCCUGAGAGGGUGACCGGCCACACUGGGACUGCGAUCCGUACCAGACUCCUACGGGAGGCAGCAGUGGGGAAUAUUGCACAAUGGGCGCAAGCCUUAUGCAGCGACGCCGCGUGAGGGAUGACGGCCUUCGGGUUGUAAACCUCUUUCAGCACCGACGAAGCGCAAGUGACGGUAGGUGCAGAAGAAGGACCGGCCAACUACGUGCCAGCCGCCGCGGUAA